CAGGCAUAGAGGCCAGAGGAGGAUGUCACGUGUGCUGUUCCAUCACUGUCUGCCUUUCCUCUUGAGGCGUAUCUCUUCACUGAGUCUGAAGUUGGGCUAAUGGGCACAGACGGAUCAAGGUGUGUGGUCAGCUCAUCCAAACUCUGCCCCUCCUCCCGGACCUGUGAGUCGGCGUCCUCCCUAGAAAGAUUCUUCUUAUGUGGUUGUCCCUGGCGACCUGAGCCAAAACAUUUGAAGCCAGUUUGAGCUUUUUGUUGCCUGCAAAACAUUAAAAAGUACCAGAAGUGUCUCUCCUAAUCAGAGACUGGCUAUGUGGAGGAAUAAAAACGGUGAAACUG